rnacentral:piRNA from 1 species
GACUGAACUCAAAUUCUCUGUCG